rnacentral:rRNA from 1 species
AACGAACGCUGGCGGCAUGCCUAACACAUGCAAGUCGAACGAGACCUUCGGGUCUAGUUGCGCACGGGUGCGUAACGCGUGGGAACCUGCCCUUAUGUUCGGAAUAACUCCCCUAAAGGGGUGCUAAUACCGGAUAAUGUCUUCGGACCAAAGAUUUAUCGCCUUUGGAUGGGCCCGCGUUGGAUUAGCUAGUUGGUAGGGUAAAAGCCUACCAAGGCUACGAUCCAUAGCUGGUCUGAGAGGAUGAUCAGCCACACUGGGACUGAGACACGGCCCAGAAUCCUACGGGAGGGAGCAGUGGGGAAUAUUGGAAAAUGGGCGAAAGCCUGAUCCAGCAAUGCCGCGUGAGUGAUGAAGGCCUUAGGGUAGUAAAGCUCGUUUACCCGGGAUGAUAAUGACAGUACCGGGAGAAUAAGCUCCGGCUAACUCCGUG